rnacentral:rRNA from 1 species
UACGUAGGGGGCAAGCGUUGUCCGGAAUCAUUGGGCGUAAAGCGCGCGUAGGCGGCUCGAUCAGUCUGCUGUGAAAGUCAAAGGCUCAACCUUUGAAUGCCGGUGGAUACUGUCGAGCUAGAGUCCGGAAGAGGCGAGUGGAAUUCCUGGUGUAGCGGUGGAAUGCGCAGAUAUCAGGAGGAACACCAACGGCGAAGGCAGCUCGCUGGGACGGUACUGACGCUGAGGAGCGAAAGCAUGGGGAGCGAACAGG